rnacentral:rRNA from 2 species
GAGAAACUUUGCGAAUGUGCGAAAGCACGACAAGGUUAAUCCGAGUGGUUUCUGCUAAAGGAACCUUUUGUCGGUCCUAGAAACACCGAUGAAUAAGGGGUGGGCAAGUUCUGGUGUCAGCCGCCGCGGUAAAACCAGCACCUCAAGUGGUCAGGAUGAUUAUUGGGCCUAAAGCAUCCGUAGCCGGCUCUGUAAGUUUUCGGUUAAAUCUGUACGCUCAACGUACAGGCUGCCGGGAAUACUGCAGAGUCUAGGGGAGUGGGAGAGGUAGACGGUACUCGGUAGGAGGGGGUAAAAGUCCUUUGAUCUAUUGAUGACCACCUGUGGCGAAGGCGGUCUACCA